UGAGGCCACCUAGGGGCAGGAGCAGGGUGGCUCCAGGGCCACACUCCCCAUCCACGUGAGGACACAGGGGAUAGCUGAAGCCACGCUUGUCCAGGGAGUGGGCUGUGGGCUGUCUCUGCCAGGUCCAGACCUUCAGCUCGUGCCCCUUCCCAGGUGGGGGAGGGUCUUGAAUGGGCACCGACAUGGCAGAGUGGGCACAGGGUUGCCACCUGUCUGUCCCCAGCUUGGAGGAUGCCAGGAGGAGAACCUUGUGUCUUUAAUGCUGCCCUGAGGUUCUUCCUCCCCAGUGUUCAGAUGCCCUCUAGGCUGGCAAGGGUCCCGCUCCUAGCUCCACCCCACACAGUUCACGCCACCACUGGACCCCCUCUGCCUUCCUGUGCCUGCUGUGCCCAUCUUGGGGCCUGCUACCUGGAUGGCCCAUGUCACUGUGGGGCAGGCGGCUCCUGCAGGACCGCACCUGGGCCUGGAGAAGCCCGCUGGCCCCCCAAGGGCGGCACCACCUUGCUGGUUCUGCUGCAGAGGUCUAGAUGCUGGGCAUGCGGGGCCUUGGCACCCCCCGGCCACCAGGACCCUGGCAGCUCUUCUUAGUCUACAGCUGGGAGACAGGUCAGGGAGGACAGAAAAGACACAUCUCCGCAGCAUGCAACUCAGCCAGUCUGCAGCAGCGGAACCAAUGGGAAGCCUCCAUCAACCAUACGCUUAGUUCCUUCAAUGGACUCUUCGGUGAUCAUCACGGCCCCGCCCAUCUCCUCCCUUUUCCUAUAAAAGCAAGUUCUCCGUCCUUGUCCUGUGGGUUUGCUUACGGUCGGCACCAGGUUGCUUGCCUGAAGUCGAAAUUUCUGUUGCUGUUCCUGAGUAAACUUGCUUUUGCCAGUAAACUAUCUGGCUGUUAUAUUAUUGAAGUUGACAGUUACUAGGUCAAGACUGUUAGUCAUGAUGUGCAAAUAUUCUAUACCUUUAUUAAUGUCCUGCCUUGUUCUAUUGAUGCUUUUGAACUGUGAUGUUGGAGAAGACUCUUGAGAGUCCUUUGGACAACAAGGAAAGCAAACCA